rnacentral:snRNA from 1 species
GGGCAUGUGCAGUGGCAGUAUCAUAGCCAAUGAAGUUAAUCUGAGGUGUGAUUAUUGCUAGUUGAAAACUUUUCCCUUCUCUA